GUAGGUGGCAAGCGUUGUCCGGAAUUAUUGGGCGUAAAGCGCGCGCAGGCGGUUCUUUAAGUCUGAUGUGAAAGCCCACGGCUCAACCGUGGAGGGUCAUUGGAAACUGGAGAACUUGAGUACAGAAGAGGAAAGCGGAAUUCCACGUGUAGCGGUGAAACGCGUAGAGAUGUGGAGGAACACCAGUGGCGAAGGCGGCUUUCUGGUCUGUAACUGACGCUGAGGCGCGAAAGCGUGGGGAGCAAACAGGGAUUAGAUACCCUGGUAGCCCACGCCGUAAACGAUGAGUGCUAAGUGUUAGGGGGUUUCCGCCCCCUUAGUGCUGCAGCUAACGCAUUAAGCACUCCGCCUGGGGAGUACGGCCGCAAGGCUG
rnacentral:rRNA from 1 species